CCUGCAACAAGUUUAGGGUAAAUGGAUUUUGGCAUCAUCGACAAAACAAACAACCUCUGUAUUAAUAAAUCAAGCAGGACUUUAACUUAGCCGUUAGCUUAGCAAUCACGCUAACUCCGACUUAGCGUGAUUGUUUGCGCGCUCGUGUGCUUUUGGAAAGAGGAAUGUGUGCCAGUGGUUUAUUGGCGUCCACGCUGGUCUGACCUCAGGGUGUAAAGGGCUGUUUCUGCCCUGUUACUUCACCGGCUCGGAUUACAAGCUGGAGGUGACCGGGGCCUGAAACGGUCCAGCGCUCCGACACGCAAAUUAAGAAAUGCGUCCCAUCGCCGCAACACCACAGAGCAGUUGGUAUUCAUUACGGGUCGUCACGUACGAGGAAGGUUCACGCGAAGGCGCACGGUGCUUUCCCAGGCGUCACAUGGAGCGGUUCCAACCAGGUAGCCGUCCUUUCAGCUUCAGCAUUAAAACACACACCAUCCACGCCUUAUUCUAGGAAAGAAAGAAGAUUAACGACAUCAAGACGCCACAAAUAUGCAAGUACAUGAAAGAAAUGGCCUCACGCCACGGUUCCUACAGUAUCCAUGAGUGAUGAAGGACAGAGUGGUAUCCAUCCAGUCUGCACAGAAGCUAAGUCUAAAUGAAUGGACUAAAGGUUGCUAUGAUGAGACGCAGAAUUCAGGUGCUGAGGAGGAACCAAGACGAGCGGCGGAGGCGGAGGAAGAAGCCAUGACCCUGGUUUUCAGGCCUUAUAGGGUGUCCGCCUCAACCUUCAUGACCUUCAUCACUUCGUCCUCUUCGUCCCAUCCUCCGUCUGAGCCAUGUAUUUGACUUCCUUCCUUUUUUAUUCCUCCUUUCACUUUCACCCACCGCCUCCCAGUUCACAGCACUCCAUGACUUCCCACCCUUCUUCCUUCACCUGCCUGCCCUCUGUAACUAACUAAUAAAUAAAU